rnacentral:lncRNA from 1 species
AAUAAUUGCCAUGUCAUGCUGUUAAAUUUUAUUGAUUGGUGGGAUAAUUGUUAGCUUAUUGCAAUGAGCGGGUUCCGUGGCCCAGCCUAUUAGAGGGGCAUGGUAACCCCGUUAUAUUCUUACCUCAGUAUGAGAGGCACGGGUGGAUAACUUCUGAGGUUAACACUUUUAGAGUUCACUUCACGUCAAACCACCACGUGAGGGGGAACUCAGCCAACGUCAAGGAACGACUAUGUUUUCAAAAUAAAAACAUAAUUUAUGCGUACAUGACUUUUUAACAGCCUUGGCAGACUCGGUUGGGAUAGCCCUCGAUCAAGGUAUCCCUGAUAACUGGGUAUGAGAAUGAAUUUUGGCACGAGCCAAAGUUUUAAGAAAUUCAAAAGCCAUUUUGAUUACUUGAUUUAUAAGAAUUGAUUUUAUUUGGUUAAAACAAGUUGAAAGGUGAUGAAUUUCAGUAUGUUAAACUGUUUUAUCUGUCUCCAUUUACUUAACUUUAGAUGGUUUAGAUGGUAUCUGUUUACUCACUGGGAUUUUAUAAUCUCACCACCCCCAUUUUCAACCAUUUCAAGCCCGAGGAAGCUUGUGGAUAGCAGAUAUCGUCAAGGAUUAUAGUCGACUUUACUACUCCAAAAACUUUAGCUAUGAGAAUUUAUAAUUCUUGUCUCGACUCAGUUGAAUAAAAAGGGGCAAGUUACAACACAAGGUCGAUUAUGUGGAUAUAAAGCUAAAAUGGUUAAAGGCGUUCCCUUUAGGGGGGGAGCAAAAGGUUUGGGGUUUUUGAAACUUGGAGAGAAGGUCCUGCAGGGCCUGUCGUGC